AAACUGCGAUAAGUAGUGUGAAUUGCAUUUAGUGAAUCAUCGAAUCUUUGAACGCACCUUGCACUCACUGGUAUUCCGGUGAGUACGCCUGUUUCAGUAUCAUUGAAAACACACAAUCAAAACAUUUUCUUUGGUUUGAUUGGCUUUGGGUCUAUCAAAAAGUUUGGCUUGUUUCUUACAAGCCAAGCGGCCUGAAAUAUAUUGUCUGGCUAAUUGCAUCGUUGAUGAUCGCUAUUAGACUUUGGCUUUUUUAAAUGAACUGGAGGUUGAUUAACCAGUUUUAGCUUUAGUCAAAUGGUCAUUGUAAAAAAAAUCUCGAUCUUGGCUAGGUGUUUAUAGCCGAAAAUUUUUUUUUUGGCUAUAACCGAAACCAAUAUAAUCACAUUUAGUUAUCGAUCUGAAAUCAGGUGGGACUACCCGCUGAACUUAAGC
rnacentral:misc_RNA from 1 species